rnacentral:rRNA from 1 species
GUGAAAUUGUUGAAAGGGAAACGAUUGAAGCCAGACGUACUGACGGGUAAUCAACAUUUCGGGUGCGAUUCUGUGGGUUUUGAGGAGCUUCACGGUCCUCAUGGACCGCAUAUUUGUGCCAUUUGGGUGUACUUACCUGGUAGUAGGUUAACAUCAAUUUCGGACGUCAUAAAAUGAUGGGAGGAAUGUAGCUUCGGUCUCGUACUGAAGUGUGUUAUAGCCUCUGGUAGAUGUGAUGAUGGGGCUUG